rnacentral:rRNA from 1 species
GACGAACGCUGGCGGCGUGCUUAACACAUGCAUGUCGAACGGUAAGGCUCCAGCUUGCUGGGGUACACGAGUGGCGAACGGGUGAGUAACACGUGGGUGACCUGCCCUGCACUUCGGGAUAAGCCUGGGAAACUGGGUCUAAUACCGGAUAGGACCGCACCGUGAGGGUGUGGUGGAAAGUCUUUUCGGUGUGGGAUGGGCCCGCGGCCUAUCAGCUUGUUGGUGGGGUAAUGGCCUACCAAGGCGGCGACGGGUAGCCGGCCUGAGAGGGUGGACGGCCACAUUGGGACUGAGACACGGCCCAGACUCCUACGGGAGGCAGCAGUGGGGAAUAUUGCACAAUGGGCGGAAGCCUGAUGCAGCGACGCCGCGUGGGGGAUGACGGCCUUCGGGUUGUAAACUCCUUUCACCAUCGACGAAGGGUUUCUGACGGUAGAUGGAGAAGAAGCACCGGCUAACUACGUGCCAGCAGCCGCGGUAAUACGUAGGGUGCGAGCGUUGUCCGGAAUUACUGGUCGUAAAGAGCUCGUAGGUGGUUUGUCGCGUCGUCUGUGAAAUUCCGGGGCUUAACUCCGGGCGUGCAGGCGAUACGGGCAUAACUUGAGUACUGUAGGGGAGACUGGAAUUCCUGGUGUAGCGGUGAAAUGCGCAGAUAUCAGGAGGAACACCGGUGGCGAAGGCGGGUCUCUGGGCAGUAACUGACGCUGAGGAGCGAAAGCAUGGGGAGCGAACAGGAUUAGAUACCCUGGUAGUCCAUGCCGUAAACGGUGGGCGCUAGGUGUGGGUUUCCUUCCACGGGAUCCGUGCCGUAGCUAACGCAUUAAGCGCCCCGCCUGGGGAGUACGGCCGCAAGGCUAAAACUCAAAGGAAUUGACGGGGGCCCGCACAAGCGGCGGAGCAUGUGGAUUAAUUCGAUGCAACGCGAAGAACCUUACCUGGGCUUGACAUAUACAGGAUCGCGCCAGAGAUGGUGUUUCCCUUGUGGCUUGUAUACAGGUGGUGCAUGGUUGUCGUCAGCUCGUGUCGUGAGAUGUUGGGUUAAGUCCCGCAACGAGCGCAACCCUUGUCUUAUGUUGCCAGCACGUUGUGGUGGGGACUCGUAAGAAACUGCCGGGGUUAACUCGGAGGAAGGUGGGGAUGACGUCAAAUCAUCAUGCCCCUUAUGUCCAGGGCUUCACACAUGCUACAAUGGUCGGUACAGUGGGUUGCCAGUCCGUGAGGGCGAGCUAAUCCCGCAAAGCCGGUCUCAGUUCGGAUCGGGGUCUGCAACUCGACCCCGUGAAGUCGGAGUCGCUAGUAAUCGCAGAUCAGCAACGCUGCGGUGAAUACGUUCCCGGGCCU